rnacentral:rRNA from 1 species
GAUAGCGAACAAGUACCGCGAGGGAAAGUUUAAAAGCACUUUGAAAAGAGAGUGAAAAGAACGUGAAACUGCUACGGUGAAAGCGAAUUGCAUUGACUUUCAAUAUGCACACUGCGUGGUCACUUCGAUUUAUUCGGAGGUAUUCACGUCUAGGAGCAGACUUAUCGCGUGCUUUCUGUAGUCGAUUUUGGGCUAUGGGGGGCAGAGGAUUUUCCUUUUCGGAGUCUGAAGGCGAUAGGGUGGGAGAUGCGAUCCGACCCGUCUUGAAACACGGACCAAGGAGUGUAGCACAUGUGCGAGUCGUAGGGCGUCAAAACCCGAAGGCGGAGUUAACGCAAGUUUUAUCUUUCCUCUAAAACUAGCAGUUUGAGGCGGCAUACGAUCGUUGAUUGUAGGUCUGCCCUGGAGCAUAUGUGGUACGACCCGAAAGAUGGUGAACUAUACCGGAGGAGGGCGAAGCCAGAGGAAACUCUGGUGGAGGCUCGCAGCUGUGCUGACGUGCAAAUCGCUAGUCCGACUCGGGUAUAGGGGCGAAAGACUCAUCGAACCAUCUAGUAGCUGGUUUCCCCCGAAGUUUCUCUCAGGAUAGCGGCCCGACGCGUUGUUGUCAUGUGCGGUAA